UUUUUUUUUUUUUUUUUUUUUUUUUUGUAUGUGAUGUGGCAAAGAAGACGGAAAA
rnacentral:ribozyme from 1 species